CCCAACCCACCCAAUCAAUGAGGAGGCAGCCACCAUCCUCCCUCUUUAUAAGGAGCUUGGCCGGCCACACCUCCUCUCCUUUGCCUCAUUUCUUUUCACUCCCUACUAUUUCCUCCACUCCCUCACACUCUCCUCCUCCACUUCCCCACGAAAAUGGUGCUCCCCUUGCUCCCAUGGCCGGCCAUGGCCAUGGCAAGCCACCAAGAUGAAGCUCUCCUUCUCCCUCAAGCUCCUCCUCACCAUGAGAGCCUCCCUCUCCUUCUUCUCCCCAACCCUAGAUGGUUUUCUCUCCUCUUCUUCUUCCUCCCUUGCUAAGAUUGGAUCUUGAUGCAGGUGCAUGUUGGUCCAAGCAUGGAGAAGCUUGAGCUAUCCUCAGAUCUGAAGUUCUUGAGCAUAAUCCAAAUCGAGUGAUUCAAAGUUCCGCAGAUAGAUAUUGAAAAGAUCUACAACUUGGCGUUGGUCUCAUCCUCAAAUUCGUUACGGAUUUUGCAUGAUCAAGAUCUGGUCAGAUCUGACUUUGUCGAAUUAAACCAGGAGCUUGGAAACUAAUUUUUGAAUGAAACCAACUGGGGGAUACUUAGUUGUGCCAUGGUGAUACCGAGAGAGGCAAUUGCUAAGUUAUGAUACUCUCCUACCUUUACUAGAUGCGAACGAUUCCGGAGAAGAAGAAGAAGUGGUUCGGACAAGGAUUUUAUUUAUAUUGACGGGAUUCUUAUAUUGAUGAAGUUGAAGAAGUCCAGGGACAAAUAAGCCAAGGCAAGCCAUCUUUUGAUCUCUGAUAUGAUGUCUCUUUGGAUGUCAUCUUGUGCUAUCAAUAGCAUCUUGGUUCUAUGUGUGAUGAUCUCCAUAUUGUUGUCAUCUAUGCUUGGAUGCAAGCAUGGUACCUCUAGUAGUUUUAUCUUGUCAAGGUCUUGGUAAUUGGUUGGGUGUAUGGUAUCAUGGCCAUUGCUAUCCAACUUGCUUUCUAUAUUUAGCUUGAAUAUGUUCCACCUCGGGACAAGAUUCAUACUACACCCCCUUCUAGUGUAGAUGUAUCAAUACCAUGUUUUUGGUGUAUUCUCAAAUUGUGAUGAGUAUGCCUGUUUUCCCUUAAUGGUGUUGGUGUUGGUCAAUUCUCAUCCCUAUCUAUCUAUUGAUUGGGUUAGAUAGCACCACAAAUCUGAAAGUAUAUUUCCUCUUGUGUUGUCAUAAUACAUGCUUAGCUCAAGCAAGUAUGAUCCACUCCAAUACCUCUUUUUCAUACCCUCAAUGGCGUGAUGACCCUCAUCUCGGCCAUAGUGUUGUAUUAGUUCAACUCUUGAAACUUUAGAUUGGGAACCCCUCAAGGUUUACCUUGUUGUAAAUGUUUAUGAAAACCUUGGGUGAGGCAAUCUUACCCAAGCGUAUGGUUUAUGAAAGGAAAGGAUCUUGACAAAGAUGGUUGGAAAGAGGAAGGUGUGUGUGACUUGGGUUUUUGAGAAAAACGACACAUGGUUCUUUGUAUU